GAACUAUUUUCUUAUAAAGUGCUUGAAAAAUUAUAUUUGUUACAUGUAAAAGAUGAAAAAUAUGGUCCACAUUCUAGUAUUUAUUUAUUCUUGGGUCAUAUUUAUGUAUCUAUUUCUCGUCGUAACAAGCAAAACUCCCUUUAUAUGCGUUUCUGACAAAGAAUGUCCAACAGCAUCAUAUCCUUUAGUUUGCAAGUGCAUUGAUAAUUUCUGUCAUGUUUUGAUAGCGGAAUAAUGAAUUCUUAAAUACAUAAUUAUUUUUGGAAUAGUGUUAGCUACACUCUCUUUUAAACACUCUUUAAUACUCACUUUGUAAUUGGUCUAAAUCGAUAUGGAUCCUACGUUUUGAAAAUGAAACCUACAUAAAACAGUGUGACAUACAUUGAUUUCACCCAAUAAGAGAAGAGUGUUUAAGACAUUGUUGAAAAAAGAGUGUUGUUAGUAUUCAUCUUAUUUUUAUAAUUAAUACUGUUUGUACUUUAAGAAUUUACUUCAAGUUUUUAUUUAUGUUUCUUUUCUCUUUCAAUUUAUAUAACAAGUUCAUAAUUGUACAUUUUAAUAUGCAAAUAUUCUUAUCUUGAUUGGA